rnacentral:lncRNA from 1 species
CUUUUUAUGGCUGAGUAGCAUUCCAUGGUGUGUGUGUGUAUGUGUGUGUGUGUGUAUGUAAGUAGGUAUAUAUGUGUCUGUGUACACACACACACACACACACACACACACACACACACACACACACUACAUUUUAAUCCAAUCAUCCAUUGAUGGAUACUUAGGUUGAUUGUAUAGCUUUCGGGUAGAUACCCAGUAGUGGGAUUGCAAGAUCAAAGGGUAGUUCUAUUUUUAAUUCUUUGAGAAAUGUCCAUACUGUUUUCCAUAGAGGUUAUACUUAUUUACAUUCCCACCAACGGUGUAUGAGUGGGAAUUCCCUUUACUGCAUAUUACUGCAUAUCCUCACUACCAUCUGUUGUUUUUUGACUUUUUAAUAAUGGCCAUUCUGACUGUUGGAAGAUGGUAUCUCAUUGUGUUUUUAAUUUGCAUUUCUCUGAUGAUUAGUGAUAGGGAACAGUUUUUCAUGUUUGUUAGCUGCUUGUAUGUCUUCUAUUGAAAAAUGUCUGUUCGUGUCCUUUGCCCACUUUUUAAUGGGUUAUUUGGUUUGUUUGUUUUGUUGAGUUCCUUGUAGAUGGUGGAUAUUAGCCUUUUGUCAGAUGCAUUGUCUGCAAAUAUUUUCUCCCAUUCUGUAGGUUGUCCUUUUACUGUGUUGAUUGUUUCUUUUGCUGUGCAUAAGCUUUUUGGUUUAAUUAAGUCUUAUUUGUCUACUUUUGCUUUUGUUGUAUUUCCUUUGGAGAACUUAGCCAUAAAUUCUUUGCCUAGAUCAAUGUCCAGAACAGUUUCUCCUAGGUUUUAGGAUUUUUGUAGUUUGAGGUCUUUAAUCCAUCUUGAGCUCAUUUUUAUAUAUGGUAAGAGAUAGAAGUCCAGUUUCAUUCUUCUGCAUAUGGCUCUCCAAUUAUGCCAGCAUUAUUUAUUGGAUAGGGUAUCAGCCAGGAUGGUGGUGCAUGCCUGUAGUUUCAACUACUUGGGAGUCUGAGGCUGGAGAACUGUUUGAGCCCAGGAAUUUGAGGCUACAUUGAGCUCUCACCAGUGCACUCCAGCUUUGGGUGAAAGAGUAAGACCCUGUCUCUGAAAAAAAAAAUUAUACUGAAUAAGGUGUCCUUUCCCCCAGAGUAUAUUUUUUUCAACUUUGUCAAAGAUCAGUUGUUUAUAGGCAUUUAAUCCUUUAAAAACUUGCCUCUUGGCACUGCCGUUGCUGUAUCCCAGAGGUUUUGGAGCCAUGUGGAGAAACAGCUGGGGUCCUCCUGACUACCAGAAGGCUACCUGCAUCAUGUCCUCCAGAGACCUAUCCCAAGUUCCAACAUAUCUAGGACAUCACCAGAACCACAACUGCCAACCCAAUGACCUGCCAAUCACCAAAUUUCACUGGAGUAUGAAAAUUUAUCAUAUUAUCAGGGAAAAUCUCUGAUAAUUGGCACAUAUGCCUAAGAGGUCCUUUUAUCAUAGUCAAAAAAAGGUAAGGCAAUUUUAAAGGUAUCUGAGGAGAGCAAUUGAACUCUAGAAGCAUUUCCCCUACCAAAAAGAAAUAUUUUCAUUGCUUGAAUUUUGUUUCCUUUACCCUCCUCUACUCCCCAAAUUUCACAUUACAGACUCAAAAUGGUUUCCUAUUGGAUCUAUAGGUAAUCCCUUCCCACAACCACCAAUAGCAAAUUCUUACUUUUAAAGCACCUCUUUAAUCUUGACAAGUACUCAAGAAGUCACUGAUCACAAACUUAUCAGCACUAGGACUUCUCAAAUAAUGCCACUUUCCCACCUUGCUCUCUUGUUUAAACAUAAUCCUCCUCCCACAGACAAAGGUUUGUUUAGUAGAUGGGAGGAGGGAGGGAAUUGAAAGAGCUCUCACUACAAUUUUUAUUGUAAUAAAAAGCCAUCAAGACAUUUACUUUCUUUCCCUCUGUUUUCAACUUACACAAGAUUCUUUUUAAAAGCAUUUUCUAAAAUUUGCCUAGAGUAAUCUUUUCCACAGGGAAACACAAACCCAACAAAACAGCCCUUUGUUUCAACUAACAUUUAGCAAAUAGAAAAUACAAGUACCUGGCACGGGGUCUUGGGAUUAAGGAAGUUGGGG